UACGGGAGGCAGCAGUGGGGAAUAUUGCACAAUGGGCGCAAGCCUGAUGCAGCCAUGCCGCGUGUAUGAAGAAGGCCUUCGGGUUGUAAAGUACUUUCAGUCGUGAGGAAGGUGUUAAGGUUAAUAACCUUAGCAAUUGACGUUAGCGACAGAAGAAGCACCGGCUAACUCCGUGCCAGCAGCCGCGGUAAUACGGAGGGUGCGAGCGUUAAUCGGAAUUACUGGGCGUAAAGGGCACGCAGGCGGUUAAUUAAGUUGGAUGUGAAAUCCCCGGGCUUAACCUGGGAAUGGCAUUCAAGACUGGUUAGCUAGAGUCUUGUAGAGGGGGUAGAAUUCCAUGUGUAGCGGUGAAAUGCGUAGAGAUGUGGAGGAAUACCGGUGGCGAAGGCGGCCCCUGGACAAGACUGACGCUCAUGUGCGAAGCGUGGGGAGCAACAGGGAUUAGAUACC
rnacentral:rRNA from 1 species